rnacentral:rRNA from 1 species
CGUCAAAUCAUCAUGCCCCUUAUGUUCUGGGCUACACACGUGCUACAAUGGUCGGUACAGAGGGCAGCUACCCCGCGAGGGGAUGCCAAUCUCAAAAGCCGGUCUCAGUUCGGAUCGGAGUCUGUAACUCGACUCCGUGAAGUUGGAUUCGCUAGUAAUCGCGCAUCAGCCAUGGCGCGGUGAAUACGUUCCCGGGCCUU